AGUAGUUUGAUCCUGGCUCAGGCGAACGCUGGCGGCGUGCUUAACACAUGCAAGUCGAGCGGUAAGGCCCUUCGGGGUACACGAGCGGCAACGGGUGAGUAACACGUGGGUGACCUGCCCUCCACUUCGGGAUAAGCCUGGGAAACCGGGUCUAAUACCGGAUAUGACUUCUGGGUGCAUGCCUGGUUGUGGAAAGUUUUUUCGGUGGGGGAUGGGCCCGCGGUCUAUCAGCUUGUUGGUGGGGUGAUGGCCUACCAAGGCGACGACGGGUAGCCGGCCUGAGAGGGUGAUCGGCCACACUGGGACUGAGACACGGCCCAGACUCCUACGGGAGGCAGCAGUGGGGAAUCUUGCGCAAUGGGCGGAAGCCUGACGCAGCAACGCCGCGUGAGGGAUGACGGCCUUCGGGUUGUAAACCUCUUUCGCGAUCGACGAAGGCCCACUUUGUGGUGGGUUGACGGUAGGUCGAGAAGAAGCACCGGCCAACUACGUG
rnacentral:rRNA from 1 species